AUUGAACGCUGGCGGCAGGCCUAACACAUGCAAGUCGAACGGUAACAGGAAGAAGCUUGCUUCUUUGCUGACGAGUGGCGGACGGGUGAGUAAUGUCUGGGAAACUGCCUGAUGGAGGGGGAUAACUACUGGAAACGGUAGCUAAUACCGCAUAACGUCGCAAGACCAAAGAGGGGGACCUUCGGGCCUCUUGCCAUCGGAUGUGCCCAGAUGGGAUUAGCUAGUAGGUGGGGUAACGGCUCACCUAGGCAACGAUCCCUAGCUGGUCUGAGAGGAUGACCAGCCACACUGGAACUGAGACACGGUCCAGACUCCUACGGGAGGCAGCAGUGGGGAAUAUUGCACAAAGGGCGCAAGCCUGAUGCAGCCAUGCCGCGUGUAUGAAGAAGGCCUUCGGGUUGUAAAGUACUUUCAGCGGGGAGGAAGGGAGUAAAGUUAAUACCUUUGCUCAUUGACGUUACCCGCAGAAGAAGCACCGGCUAACUCCGUG
rnacentral:rRNA from 1 species